CCUUCCUGAAGGAAGCCUGCUUUUUUCUGUUCUAAUUUUAUCUGGCCUGAUUACAUGGUUAUGUUAACUGGGCCCUGUUGUUAGUACUUGUAAAUUGCGUCUGGGCAGUUUGGGAAUUUAGGACCUGAAGAAAUGCAUCUGGAAGACUAUGGUGGAAAAAAAAUCUGAGAAAACUGAAGCCAGUAGAGCCAUUGUGUCUUUCCUAAGGUUUAACAACUCAUUAUUAAUAAAGCUGAAAUCAAAGCCCACAUUCAAGCACUCUCAGAAGAAUCAUACCAUCCUGGCCUUGAAAUGUCUUCUGGAAGCUGGAGAUAUAUGAAGAACACCACUACCCAAUCAAGUAAUGUGGAAUUGGAUGACAAGGAUGCAGUCAGCCCCAGCUUGAACGAAGAAAAAAGAUGGGAAAUUCCCCAAAACAAAUGUAUUCAUCCUGAGAAUUUCCUGUCCUAUUCUCUCUGAUGUAUUUCAGAAUUAAUCCUUCAUCUACCUUCCCCUCCAAGUGGCUGUUCUCUAGGUGAGUAUUUGUCUUAGUUUUCCUUUCCUUCCCUCUGAAUAUUAUUCCUGGGUAGAGAAUAUAUUAGAAGCAG
rnacentral:lncRNA from 1 species